GGAUUCCCUCGAGGCGGAAUCUUCCCAGCUCACGACCCUCAUAAUUUCACAUCCCAUCAUCAUCUCCCUCCUCCAUUGCCAAAUCCUUAUUAUUACCAAGAACUCCUUCAUCAACUUCACAGAGAAAUUACUUCUUCACCGCAAUUACCUCAAUCUACUACUGACGACGGACAUUUUGCAGUGCCGUCUAUUAAUCAACCAGAAGAAGGUUUACUUGGUGAUAUUGUACCUCAAACCAUGCGCAAUCCUUGAGGUAAAAUCUCAUAUAUAUAUAUAUAUAUAUAUAUAUUUGAGUUUGUUAAUUAAUGUUCAUCUAUAUAGGAUUAGAAGUGAAUUCUAUAAAUAGAUAAAAUGAUAUUUCUUUUGGUUCCCAAGGGUUUAAAACUUUUAAUGGACCACAAAGGCAUAAAAGGGUUACUUUUUCUAGUCCGAAACUCAAAACCCAAAUCAAGAGAUAUCUUAAGUGGGAAAAAUAUCCCAUGCUUUGACAGAAGCAAAUCUAUCUAUUGUAGUGAUGUAGAUGUACUGAUGAAUAUAAAUGAGAAUCAAUAUGCCAAAUCCUUAUUAUUACCAAGAACUCCUUCAUCAACUUCACAGAGAAAUUACUUCUUCACCGCAAUUACCUCAAUCUACUACUGACGACGGACAUUUUGCAGUGCCGUCUAUUAAUCAACCAGAAGAAGGUUUACUUGGUGAUAUUGUACCUCAAACCAUGCGCAAUCCUUGAGGUAAAAUCUCAUAUAUAUAUAUAUAUAUAUAUAUAUUUGAGUUUGUUAAUUAAUGUUCAUCUAUAUAGGAUUAGAAGUGAAUUCUAUAAAUAGAUAAAAUGAUAUUUCUUUUGGUUCCCAAGGGUUUAAAACUUUUAAUGGACCACAAAGGCAUAAAAGGGUUACUUUUUCUAGUCCGAAACUCAAAACCCAAAUCAAGAGAUAUCUUAAGUGGGAAAAAUAUCCCAUGCUUUGACAGAAGCAAAUCUAUCUAUUGUAGUGAUGUAGAUGUACUGAUGAAUAUAAAUGAGAAUCAAUAUCGUGUUUGUCUAAUCACUGAUGAUGCACCAUCAUCUCUCUUUUCGAAUAAUUUAGAUCACUUGAUAGAUAUGUAGGCCAGUCCCUUUUCAGAAACAUAAAAGUUCGAUGAUGCAUGUAUAAUAAAUGGAUGGUUGCCUCUCUCUCUCUGUUUGUAUAUUUAUAUACAUAAAACAUGUUAACUAUUAUUUAGAAGUGAUUCAAUUAGGGUCAAGCACUGGUAUAUUAUAUAGUGCUUACUCCUCUUGCUCAAAGGCAUAUGUAUAGGCUUACUUAUAUAAGGUAGAGGUGAACUUGAAAUGGGUCAGCAUGAUUAUAGAAAUGUCAACAAAUAUUAAUAACCAAGCUUAGAUACUCCACUCGAUGUCACUCUGAUCUUGAAUCUCUCCUUUUAUCAGUUAUAUACAACCCUUAAUAUUGUGUAUUCACAUCAACUUAAUUGCAUAGCAUUAUUCUAUGUACAUGUAUGCAUGAGGCGCCGCAUAUAUAUGGUAUAAGUUCCGAGGGUACUGUGUUAGGUCACAUGAAUAAAUGCUUCCUGUUUUAGCUAAAGACAGCCAAGAAAGUUAAAGGGAGAAAAUAAUUAAAAAGAGAUAUAUGAGCAUAUUGUUAAAAAAAAAAAAGAGAGAUAUAUGAGCAUCUUAGCUCCACGAGUAAAACCCUUUAUUAAGUACUAACAAUAUUGACUUGGAAUAUUUCUUAGAAGUCAGACAAAUUAACCACAUGACAAAAUUAUACAUUAUUCACAAUAACAAAUAAACGAAUAUUUUUUUUUGGUAAAAUAAACGAAUAUAUUAUAUUACAUAAUAUCAAAUAGGGAAUGUGUGCUUGCAUAUUUGAUUAUUGAAAGAAAAAAAUGACACAUAAACAUGUCUG
rnacentral:lncRNA from 1 species